rnacentral:rRNA from 1 species
UACAGAGGUCUCAAGCGUUGUUCGGAUUCAUUGGGCGUAAAGGGUGCGUAGGCGGCGCGGUAAGUCGGGGUGUGAAAUCUUGGAGCUUAACUCCGAAACUGCAUUCGAUACUGCCGUGCUUGAGGACUGGAGAGGAGACUGGAAUUUACGGUGUAGCGGUGAAAUGCGUAGAUAUCGUAAGGAAGACCAGUGGCGAAGGCGGGUCUCUGGACAGU